UUAAUGAGAGUUUGAUCCUGGCUCAGGACGAACGCUGGCGGCGUGCCUAAUACAUGCAAGUAGAACGCUGAGGUUUGGUGUUUACACUAGACUGAUGAGUUGCGAACGGGUGAGUAACGCGUAGGUAACCUGCCUCAUAGCGGGGGAUAACUAUUGGAAACGAUAGCUAAUACCGCAUAAGAGUAAUUAACACAUGUUAGUUAUUUAAAAGGAGCAAUUGCUUCACUGUGAGAUGGACCUGCGUUGUAUUAGCUAGUUGGUGAGGUAAAGGCUCACCAAGGCGACGAUACAUAGCCGACCUGAGAGGGUGAUCGGCCACACUGGGACUGAGACACGGCCCAGACUCCUACGGGAGGCAGCAGUAGGGAAUCUUCGGCAAUGGACGGAAGUCUGACCGAGCAACGCCGCGUGAGUGAAGAAGGUUUUCGGAUCGUAAAGCUCUGUUGUUAGAGAAGAACGUUGGUAGGAGUGGAAAAUCUACCAAGUGACGGUAACUAACCAGAAAGGGACGGCUAACUACGUGCCAGCAGCCGCGGUAAUACGUAGGUCCCGAGCGUUGUCCGGAUUUAUUGGGCGUAAAGCGAGCGCAGGCGGUUCUUUAAGUCUGAAGUUAAAGGCAGUGGCUUAACCAUUGUACGCUUUGGAAACUGGAGGACUUGAGUGCAGAAGGGGAGAGUGGAAUUCCAUGUGU
rnacentral:rRNA from 1 species